rnacentral:rRNA from 1 species
AGAGUUUGAUCCUGGCUCAGAGCGAACGCUGGCGGCAGGCCUAACACAUGCAAGUCGAACGGACCCUUCGGGGUUAGUGGCGGACGGGUGAGUAACACGUGGGAACGUGCCUUUAGGUUCGGAAUAGCUCCUGGAAACGGGUGGUAAUGCCGAAUGUGCCCUUCGGGGGAAAGAUUUAUCGCCUUUAGAGCGGCCCGCGUCUGAUUAGCUAGUUGGUGAGGUAAUGGCUCACCAAGGCGACGAUCAGUAGCUGGUCUGAGAGGAUGACCAGCCACACUGGGACUGAGACACGGCCCAUACUCCUACGGGAGGCAGCAGUGGGGAAUCUUGCGCAAUGGGCGAAAGCCUGACGCAACCAUGCCGCGUGAAUGAUGAAGGUCUUAGGAUUGUAAAAUUCUUUCACCGGGGACGAUAAUGACUGUACCCGAAGAAGAAGCCCCGGCUAACUUCGUGCCAUCAGCCGCGGUAAUACGAAGGGGGCUAGCGUUGCUCGGAAUUACUGGGCGUAAAGGGCGCGUAUGCGGACAUUUAAGUCAGGGGUGAAAUCCCAGAGCUCAACUCUGGAACUGCCUUUGAUACUGGGUGUCUUGAGUGUGAGAGAGGUAUGUGGAACUCCGAGUGUAAAGGUGAAAUACGUAGAUAUUCGGAAGAACACAGUGGCCAAGGCGACAUACUGGCUCAUUACUGACCCUGACGCGCGAAAGCGUGGGGAGC